rnacentral:miRNA from 1 species
GCAGACACAUUCCAGCCAAUCAGCAGCAGACCCUCCCUCCCAGACCCUCCCACCUCCUGGACAGCAUCCAUUUUACAUUCAUUGUGAAGCUGCAUUCUUAGUGAGCUGUCUAGGAGGUGGGAGGGUCUGGGAGGGAGGGUCUGCUGCUGAUUGGCUGGAAUGUGUCUG